rnacentral:rRNA from 1 species
UACGUAGGGUGCGAGCGUUGUCCGGAAUUACUGGGCGUAAAGAGCUCGUAGGUGGUUUGUCGCGUUGUUCGUGAAAACUCACAGCUUAACUGUGGGCGUGCGGGCGAUACGGGCAGACUGGAGUACUGCAGGGGAGACUGGAAUUCCUGGUGUAGCGGUGGAAUGCGCAGAUAUCAGGAGGAACACCGGUGGCGAAGGCGGGUCUCUGGGCAGUAACUGACGCUGAGGAGCGAAGGCGUGGGUAGCGAACGGG